UGCCCUGACAAGUCCAUGGAGAGCCUGACAUUACUGGGCAGAGGCAUCAAUGUUUCCAGGGCAGGGUGAAGAGAAGGGAUUUGGAAGUAUCUGGAAGCUGCACAUUUUCUGCCUAGAAAGGCUGGAGAGCCAAUGCUGUGAUCGCUGUGGAAGCUUUGCCAUUGCUGCUGGGUGACUCAGAAGGAAUCAGCGUAAUUUAUCUGUGUCUUUUCAAAAGACAAGCCUCCUAAAAAAGCAAAGAGCAGAAUGAUUUUCAACAGAUGAACAGCUGAGACCAGCAGGACUCCCUUUUGAACCAAAAUUUGUCUGUGCAGACAGAAUGAACAAACACGAAGAAUUCAAGGCGUGCUGAACUGAUCCUGAGAUAAACACCAACAUUUUUAAUCAAGUGGAAAAUCAGAAAGAAAUAUCUCAUUAAUGUUAUAUAGCAUUGACAAAAAUGUGAAUUUAUGCAGAGAAAUCUCUCUACUUUGACUACUGACUUAAACAGCACAGUGUUCUUUUUCCAGCCUAAUGUUUCAAAUGGGAGAGGAAACCAGAUGUACCAAAACAACAUUAAAAAGAGACAUACCCUUCCUAGGAAAGGUAUUUUUUGUUGCAAAAUACCAUCUUAAAUAAUGAUAUUCCUGUUCUCAGUCUUGUUGACUUUUGCAGAAAUUAAUCAUCAAAGUGAACCUCAGAGGCGACAGUCUUCAUGGAUGUUGGAAAGCAGUGUGCAUCUGCCUACUUGUUUCAAGACUGGAUUGCUCUACCAAGAUUUAUCUCCCUGCUCAACUAAUAAACUACAACAUACUUACCAAAAUGGAAACAAGCAAAACCUCUGGCCUCUGGAGCUGUAGGUAACUUCCUUUUUCAUGUAGAUCUUAGGCCCUGGAAGCUUCUUGGGAAAAAUGCUUUCAUUCUCUUUGUUGGAGGUUUUUGGAGAAAUUACAGAGAUUUGCUCUUUAUCCAAUAGUGCAAGGAAUGGUCACUGACACAGGCACUACAGAACACCCACAAAAUGUCAGCCAUCCUCAGAAACACUGAGUGCAGUCAACGUCACUCUCUAAGCUGACAUGCAUGGCAUUUACCAGCCUUCAUUUGCAAGCACACCCAUCCGUGAAGAAUCAGCUCGGUGGUUCUGGUUCGGCACAGAAGUACACAACCAGACACGUGACAGUGUGUGUCACAACACAGUGAAGAAGCUGCUCUGUGCACUGCACAUACCUAGAGACAUGUGGAAAUCCUGCCCAAAGGGAUUUACUGAGUGCCGGCGUGCUGCCAAGAUCCAGCUAGCCCAGGAGCCUGCAGAAACUUAAACAAGGAUUAUCUUCUGGCAGAAACCAAGCAAGAGCAGAUUCCUCUGACAAAGCAGCAUAGCGUUUGCCGAGGAGCUGCCAUGGGCUUAUUGCUGCCUGACCUGAAACAUGACCCUGUCCCAUUGGCCCAUGCCCUUGGGGGGCACCUAAGGCUUUGAGUAGCCCAAGUCCCACUUCCAUGAUAGAGCACAUGGGGCAGCCACCGCCCUCCCAGCAGAACAGGUCUGAGCUUUCUCCUCCUCCUACUCUCCAGAAAACUUGCUCUCCAGGCAUGGGAUAUACGUGGGGUGUGGCACGGAUGGGGAGGAAAGCACACCUUAGAUCUAGAGCCCUGCUCAAAAGAUGCUGGUUUUCUUGGGAACCUGUCCUGACACAAAGGUUCAAGUCUCAGCAAUGUAGCUACCAGGAAGAUAUUUUUCUUUAGGUUUAAAGCAGCUCUUUUCAAGCUCAGAUUGACUCACAAAGCAAUGUGACCAGAAAAGUUGCUGACUUUUCAAACAGCAAAAGGUAGAAAAACAGGAAUUUGUUUUAACAAACAGCAGCGCUGCACUGGCUGUUCAUCAGCCUUUGGGGCUGUGACAUUUGCUGCAAGCAUGCAGCAUUCCUGUUGCCACCUGAGGAGUUCCACCAGUGUUCAUUAGACAUUGGUAUCACUGGUGUCACCCAAACCUCCAUACAUAAGGAUACCACACAGCCCAGGCUGACCUCCCCUCAGCCCACCUCCUUUUGCUGUAUGCGUCAUGCUGAAGCAGCCACCUGAGAUCCCCUGUCCCUGCAAAAGCAAAGCAGGACGAAGGCCUGUUAUGAAAACCAGAUUAUUCCCUUCACUAUGCAGACAGCAUUGCUGAGAGAUACUUCUUCUUCAUGCUGUUAACAGGAUUUGAAGACAUAUCUCUCCCAUCACCUUGAAACAACCUGGUCUUCCAUCCUGUCAUCCCUCUCAUUGCUGGGUUAUCUCCAGUUGCUCCACAUUUUCCAUGAAGUGCAGUGCCUACAGCUGGAUACCAUAAUCCAAGAAAGGCUCUCCUACUAUCAUAUGAAGAAGAAGGACCAUGUCAUGCAUCUUGCAGACUACAUUCCUAUUCACACAUUCCACAACAAUUUGUAUUUGUUUUUUUUUUUAGCAGCACACUGUUGCCAUGUUCAGCUGGUGACUGGCUAUAAGCCUAAGGGUAUUUUUUUGUACCACUGCUAUCCUAGUACUCUGUCCUGUGCCAUUCUGUAAUUGCUCAGCUGAUUGUUGCUUUGGAAGUGCAAAUAUCUGCAUUUGUCAAAUCCACCGUUGGAUUUACUGCAUCACUGCUACUCAAAUUUAUCAAGUUAACUUUGAAUUCUCAGUGCCUUUUACUCAGUCAGAAGUUAGCCCAAGAAUGCUAGCUCAGCCUAUUGGUGCUCCCUACAAUUCGAUCAGCAUAUGCCAUCCAAGUCAUUAAUGAAAACACCAAAUAAUAUCAAGUCAGAGCAAAAGUGCAGAGAAUCCUAUUCAACACACUCUUGCAGUCUGACUGCGCAUGGAGUUUUCCAAACAGGUUUCCAAAGCCUUACUUUUAAAUUGGCCUCAGAUAGAUCACAUUCACCUCCUUCUUAUGGAAAGUCAUUACAAUAAAGCUGUACCAACUGCUCCUCCUCUUUCUUCAGAAAAGUUUGUUAUGCUGAUGUGAAAGAGCUACGUUAGCCUGAAUCAUUUUGAUCUUUCUUCUAGAGGCCUGCAG
ensembl:lncRNA